AGCUACUCCCUUCAGCCUCCUGACCCCUGUCAGCUCGUUGUUCUUCAUCAGUAAUCAUGGGGUGGGAAGAUAUGGGAGAUGACGCAAAUUACCUUCAAAAACCUUUGAUUUAACAGAGCCAGCCUACAGAAGUGCACAUUUCUGAGUAGACACUGAGCAUUUCCUCCUUCUGAGCUAUUUUGUGCGCUUCCCCUUAACUCUUGCCUGAAAAUACUUGUGCAGUAGACUGAAUAGAAGCUUGAGCAUAAAGGGAAAGUUCUUAGGUGCUUUCCAGUUGGAAAAAAAAUGUAACAAAAGGUCUGAUGUGCCCAAUGUUGUCUAUGGACAGUAUUAGUGCUUCAUGUGGACAAACUAAUUUUAUCCCAACAAUUCUCGUUAUGAAUAAGAUUAUUAUGAGAUCUUGACUUUAAAUAAGUUUUGGAGAAGUUAAGUGCCCAGUAAAACAUAUCCAAGUCAUAAGCAAAUACAGUCUAUGUCCUGUUAAUUAAACACAAACCAUGAAUAAAUGAGACUUUUAAAAUCUUUAAUGCAUGUGCUUACAUGGUCACCAUGCUGUCACUCUGUCAUACAUAUUUUUACAGGUAGUCCCUAGAAGUCAUGAUAACCUGUCAACUAUUAUUGAAGCAACCUGGAUGGACACUACUUCAUUUUAUGAUUUUUUUUUCUAAUUCUGUGAUGAAAACUAAAAAGAGAAGUACAUAUCAAACUUGUCUUCUGUGAACCACUGUGUCUUUCUGUAAAUGUCACUUUCAUUUCCUCAGAUGGAGGGAUGAUAUGAGCGCCUUAUUCACACAGCUUGGGCUGAGCCCAGAGUGUUUCUCUGUUCUAACUAUUCCUAACCCUACCCCUAGAAGCUUCUAGCCUCCAAACAAUCUAAUCUUCCAAGCUAACUGAUUCAAUCCAACUUCUCUUGGCUUCUUACUGAAUUGGUCUGCUUGGCCUCAUACUAACUUUGGCAAUAUGUUGUAAUCUUCUACCUCCUUCUCAUUCUCUAGCUUGUUCUGUUUUCACCUGUAUCUAGCUUGUUCUCUCUGCUACCUGGCUUUGUUAAAACUCUCUCAACACACACACACACACACACACACACACACACACACACUACCUCUCUCGCUGCACUGCUCUUAAGUAGUCUCCUUCCUCUGCUGUUUUCCUGAGAGUUGGGUGUAUCCUGUCUCUGACUCAUUCUGUCAAUUCUUUCUCUGAUUUAUCGCAUUGUCUGUCCUGCAAUUAGACGUCACUUUCAAACAUGGUUGCUUUCUUCUACAAACUAAACUUACCUCCAUUGUUAGGGAUUAAAGAUGUGUCUGUUUUCCAGUCAGGUCAUAUUGUCAUCAGAGCAUGUCUAUGUUCCAGGUGUAUCACGUAGACCUAGUAAGUCUAUGGAUGUGAUCCUUUGCCAGAGUAUCCCAGUUGCUGGAUUAAAAUUCCUCUACAACCUUUUUGUGAAUUCUUAGGUCUAUACAGCCUCAUUGGGCGUAUUGCCAUAUCUUUCGUUAAAAAGACUAUAUAGUUGUUAGGCUACAUAAUUGUCUCAUUUCCCACAGACACCAAACAAAAACAAAAACAAACAACAACAAAAACUUUGUAGAGGGCAGCACAACUAAAAGAAGCUGUCAACAAUUGUAUAGAAUUUCCACAUGAUUACCCCAGAUCAUUAUUAUCUGAGGUCUCAGUUAUUGUGGUCAUCCCUGUUGUAAGUGGACAUAAAAAAACACAGAAAAGCUACACUCAUACUAAAGAACCAUUUCUUAUUUCCAUAAAUGAGUGGAGACAGAAAAAAAGCAAGGAUGUCUCGAAGAAGACAGAUGACAUACUGUUGGCCCUUAAGCGCAUUCUUUAAAGCAAAGUUGAAGCAAUGACUACCCCUGAAGAGAAUAUUUUUAUGAGUCUAGGUGCCUAUUCAUAUCUCUCCUUUGAGGAGCAAUGCAACAAGUUCUUCUUAAUCAUUAAGGGUAAUAAGCUAGCAACCCCUCCCUCAUCACUAAAACUAUUUUUAAGAUAGAGUCAUAGAAUCAGCAGUUGUUUUCUUGGUGAUUUCAUUUCAAUGGUUAAGUCUUAAAUUCUGUUAUUUUUCUAUUGGUAUAUAUACUCAAAAUUACUAGGUAUCUUUUCCCUACACAAGUUUACAGUGGGUCAUAGAGUUUUUAUUUAUUUGUAUGUACUGCCAAACACUAUUGAAAAGAUUUUUGUAACCAAUCUACAAAACAAUUCUACUAAAAUUAGGAAAAACAAUGUAUCUGGUUUCUCCACUCAUUCUACAUAGUACUUGAAGUGUUAGACAGCAACAGAAGAGAAGGAAGUAAAAGAGACAUGAAAGAAAAAUGAGGAUGUCAAAGUGAUCCUGUACAAGAGCCCCUUGAAAUAGAAAUGUCCUACCCAGAAUGAUCUUCAUUGAUAAAGGUCAACCGUCUACUUGAAACUGAACUUCACCUGUAUUUGAAUUGAGCAUCUUUUAUUCUAUAUUACAGUGAAGCAGUGGAUGAUUGUACCUUCAUCUGAAUUGGUAACAAAUUUGCCCUUGUGGAAGUAUGUGACUUAAUAGCAGCUGAAGAGCUGUUCUUUGUUACUUUGAUAAGAGCCAGUUCUUUUCCAAUGAAGUAGGCCUUACUUGAUACAAAGCACUUCCUGGAUAUAUGAUUAAUAGGAACAUGUACAGGAUUUUUGUACCUUAGAAGAGUUUGGAAUAAGAAGCUUAAAUAUUAGGCAGGAGCAUAAUAACAAUAACGCCUUUGAUUCCAGUUAUUGCAUUGUUAAGAAGUGUAACAAUUUCUUCUUUCAACAAUUAUAUUCAUGCCAUUGUGGUUAUGCUUUUCACUUUCAUUUGUAUGGACUCAUGGGUCUCUCUAGAGUUAGAUUUUACUAUAUUCUUAAAUUAUC
rnacentral:lncRNA from 1 species